GUGCUCGCUUUGGCAGCAUAUAUACUAAAAUCAGAAUGAUAUACAGAGGAUUACCAUGGCCCCUGCACAAGGAUAACAUGCAAAUUUAUGAAGUGUUCCAUAUUUUU